UUGAGCGUCAUCUUCUCCUCCAUAUCUGUUUCUCCUCAGGAUGUAUUUAGGAAAGUUGUUCGCUCUCUGGAUGUACCACAAUACAUUUUCUUGUGUUGAAUCUGUUUUAUAUUUACACUGUAAUCUCAAUGACUGUCCUUCAAUUUCAAUCACAUGUUUGUCUGGCUGAUCAACUGUGUCAUCUGAUCUGCACUCUGUAAAUGUUUAAGAAUAUUUAAUGUACAUUCCAAUACAAAAUUAACUUACAUGAAUGUUGAGCUUUAUUAAAAAAGAAUCCAUACCAAAAGCAAACAAUACAAAGAGAAAUAUAUUCCUCAGACUGUGUAACAUGACUCUAUAUAUGUUGAAAUCUAGAUAAAUCAGUAAAUAUGAGAGAUUUGCUUUUGAAAUGGUAAAGAUGAUCCAAGGAGGAGCUUAUGGAGACCUAUAAAAGCUGCUAUAUUGUUGAACGUAUUAUUACAUACUGCCCUCUUCUGGUUAGCUGCAAGUAUUGCGUAAACUGAAACCGUAGUAUAUCAAUGUAAAUAAUCAUUCUUUUCUGAAUUUUAGAAUAUUCAGAAGGAUAACUUAUAAGUAACUGGUGAAAUAAAAGAUUGUUUUGUAGGGAUUUAAUGUAAAGUGUCUUUAAAAUUGCCACACAAAUUCACAUACUAUAAUAAAAUGUGGCUGUUUUUAGAAAUGUGGCUGUUUUUAGAAAAUUCUGUUUCUCUCUUGUCUCUCAGUGUAACAGGUUUUUGUAGAGGGCUGAUGUGUUUCCUGUCACUGUGGGCACCAGAGCACAGUAGUACAGAGCAGAGUCUGAUACAGCAGCAGAAGAGAUCUCCAGAUCCACAUAUUGACUUUUCGAAAUGUUAGCAGAGAAUCUUGGAUCUACAUCAGACCACUGAGCAUCUUUUUUAGUGUCAUACUGUAACAGGUUUUUGUAGAGAGCUGAUGUGUUUCCUGUGGGCACCAGAGCACAGCAGUACAGAGCAGAGUCUGAUACAUCAGCAGAAGAGAUCUUCAGAUCCACAUGUUCACUUUUUGGAAUGUUAACAGAGAAUCUUGGAUCAACAUCAGACCGCUGAGAUUCUUUUGCACUACUGUAGGACUUGAUUUGAGAUGUAAAAAGAAACUCAAAAGCCAUGAAAAUAAACCCAGAAGACUGAGCGAUAAUAUCAAAUAGGUUGGAUGCUGUUGGAGAGUCAGAAGAGCCACGAACUCAACAGGAGUGAUACUGAAAGACACUUCAUUUGAAGAACUACAAAUAUUGCUAAUAUUGAAUAAGGGAUUUGAAACAGCAGUAACUCCAUGUGAAAGUAUGUGAGCACUGCCCUCCUGUGGCAUACAUGAACCUGCACUAUUUAUUGCACGUUUUUGUAGAGAGCUGAUGUGUUUCCUGUCACUGUGGGCACCAGAGCACAGUAGUACAGAGCAGAGUCUGAUACAGCAGCAGAAGAUAUCUCCAGAUCCACAUAUUGACUUUUCGAAAUGUUAACAGAGAAUCUUGGA